CCUACGUGAGGCAGCAGUGAGGAAUAUUGGUCAAUGGCCGAGAGGCUGAACCAGCCAAGUCGCGUGAGGGAAGAAUGUCCUAUGGAUUGUAAACCUCUUUUGUCAGGGAGCAAAGUCACCCACGUGUGGGUGUUGGAGAGUACCUGAAGAAAAAGCAUCGGCUAACUCCGUGCCAGCAGCCGCGGUAAUACGGAGGAUGCGAGCGUUAUCCGGAUUUAUUGGGUUUAAAGGGAGCGUAGAUGGGUUGUUAAGUCAGUUGUGAAAGUUUGCGGCUCAACCGUAAAAUUGCAAUUGAUACUGGCAGUCUUGAGUACAGUUGAGGUAGGCGGAAUUCGUGGUGUAGCGGUGAAAUGCUUAGAUAUCACGAAGAACUCCGAUUGCGAAGGCAGCUUACUAAACUGCCACUGACAUUGAUGCUCGAAAGUGUGGGUAUCAAACAGGAUUAGAUACCCGAGUAGUC
rnacentral:rRNA from 1 species